UACGGAGGGUGCGAGCGUUGUCCGGAAUCACUGGGCGUAAAGGGCGCGUAGGCGGCGCAACAAGUCACUUGUGAAAUCUCCGGGCUUAACCCGGAGCGGUCAAGUGAUACUGUCGUGCUAGAGUGCGGAAGGGGCUACUGGAAUUCUCGGUGUAGCGGUGAAAUGCGUAGAUAUCGGGAGGAACACCUGCGGCGAAGGCGGGUAGCUGGGCCGACACUGACGCUGAUGCGCGAAAGCCAGGGGAGCGAACGGG
rnacentral:rRNA from 1 species